AUUGACAGAUUAUUCAAAUGUCAUCAUAAUAGUACCGACUGAGUUGUCGCAAUGAAUUGUAUUAGCUGCAAUCCAACCAAUCAUACAAAAACCUGUGAUCAGUUGUAUUCGAAGGUUCAGUAGCACUAUCCAAAAUAUGCGCAAAAAGCGGUAUCCCUUUGGAUGACGCAUUUAUUCUCAAUCCUCCAACGAAGCACUGCAGAUGUUGAUUAGCAGGAAUUGAGUGAGGAACUAAGCAACUCCCAAAACCGACGAACGAAAGCAUAGUUUAAAUAUGCCAGAAGGGUACCAAAAUAAGGAGCGUUCACCGCCGCGAGACAAUGGCAAUAAUGGCUGGGUUAUUGGUGGUGCGGUAGGAGUAGUAGGAGCAAUUGCAGCAGCUGUGCUGUAUGCGGUUUUUAAACGUUAAGUCUGAGGCUAAAGCACUUCAUCAUUCCCAUCAUAGAAAUGUGAAAGCACAAAUCACACUAGAAGAAGAUGUUAGAGAGAAAACAAGCAACCACGAAUAAAGCAUGAUUUAGAAAUGGAGCUUUAAAAAAGAAACUAUAAUCAUAGAUUAGAAAGAUAUAGACAAUAUCAUCGCCAACGUUUUAUAGAUAGCUUUGUACGAAAUGUAAAAUGUUUUAAAAGUAUAGUAUAGUCUUCCCUGGUCCCAAAGGUUCGAUUUUUUUUUCACUCUUCGCCCUUCGCGAACUGCGAGCGACAAUCUUUCCUUUCUYGCUCAAUAUGCGGUGCUUCGCGCCAACAAAAACAAGCAGCAAAGAGUGAAAAAAUCAAACCUGAGACCAGGGUAAAUGAAGUCUGAAAUAUCAUAAGAAAUAAACAUGCAGAAAACACAAAUCGCACAAGCUAUAUACUCAAAUCUAUAUCCAUGUUUAAGCAAGUUCAUUGAUAAAUUAUUGACUCGAUUACUAAUCAAAAAUAACGAUUACAAAGCACAUUUCUAGCUGUGCGCUGUGACGCACUUUAUAAAAAUGUAACUCAAGCUCUCUUAGAGACAGACUGUGUCAGUAAGUAACGCAAAGCAGAGCUUCAAAUUGGAAAAAAUCAAAGUUAGAAAAUAUAAUUGAUAAUGGAGCCGAAUAUGCUCAUUUUUAGCGUCGUUGGAGUCGUCGUUCUCGGUGGCAUAGUCAUUACUGCCUUGUUUCAAUGUCUUGAACCUGAUCCCCCUGAUGAUUCCUGUUGUUGCUGUUGUUGAUUAGAACAGAAGAAAUCGCUGUUUUUUUAAAACGAUCAAGGACAAGGAAACUAUUACCUGAAUAUUGUGAACUUGAUGUUAUAUGUGAAACUGAUAAAGGAACUGUAGCGUAUUCUAGCGUAUGUAUUUGGCUGUGGUACCGGUGUUAGAUGCUUUUCGAUGUAAAUAAACGAAAGGAAGGAAGAACAUGGAUAUCAGUAUCCACGAAGAGCUGGAAAAGGCUGAUUAGUCGAGGACGUGCGAGGAUAAUUUACGAGAGACUUAAACAUCGCAAAGACGUUCAACUGGAUCCUUCGAAGAAAACGCUGCGCACUUCUUAUUUGUGAAGAAACAUUUGUUAACUGUGAAAUUGAAUGUAUGAUGUACUGUUGUACAACAAGGAUCUCAUUGUGAAUGUACAUAAUCUUUGUGUCAAAAUGUUUUAGUAAAGUUAUGAUUGUUGUCAAUUAUACACAGUUGUCUUCUAUUGAAGUUGUGCGCACGUAAUUAGACUGCCUCGAAAUAUAUUAUGCGUGUUUUCAAGCAUAAACAUGACACAUAGAGUAGUUAUUUCGGUUACGCAAAGAGAAAUUAUGUGCCAUGUCAUGGCACAUAAAAUAUUCAGUUGCUGUUAGGUUAUUUUGAAGAUUUAUCACCAUAAAAGUGCUUGAUUGGCAAAUUCAAAUUCUCCUAACUGUGCGCAAAACUGCAGCGCAGCACAAUUUUCAGCAGAUCACAAACAGUUGAUGAAGUGAGACUUGAAAAAAAAUCCCCUUACAUCAUGUACGAUAGGUAUAUAAACUUGCGUCGCGGCACUACGUUAGGUUUUGCCUAAAAAUAGGACCAACAAGACACCAAGAUGAGCUACGAAAAUGAUAAGAUUCCUUACGAAGUUGUAUACGUAUACGACAACAGAAUUAACAAAGUUUGCGCGAUCUUAUAUCGCACUCAAGCAGGAGAGUAUAAACCCGGUAGAGGAUGCGUCGUCGAUCAAGAGAAGUACUCAGACAGCUCAGAAACUGUCAAAGUUGUUACUGAAACAGCAAGCUGUGUAACGAUUAUACGAUAUCAAUGGGGUGAGUACAAGUCAAGCACAUGUGGAUUCACGAUUCAAAACGAAAGCGUUAGAGUAAGUUAAGAAACCGAAAACGAUGGACAUUCGGAGUUAACCAAGAAUAGUACAUCAUAUGUAUUCAUAUUAAAUUUAUCUAUUGUAUUUAUCUUACUAUAUUGUACUAGAAUUAGUCGCACAGAAAGUGAUAUUCUAAUAGAGUAGGUCAGAACACGUCUACUCUCGUCAGUUCGCUGUAAUUACUACAAGUUUUAAUAUGUAAUAGCAACUGUCUGUAUUCAAAUAAAUAGCAAUAAAUUUGUACACCAGUAGAUCUAGAGUUAAUUCAAUAAAAUUUCAUUUAAACAUUAAAACACGUCUUCUAUGUGUCGUUAUCAUUGCGCGCAUCGAUAUAAUUUCAAUGCUUCAUCAUUAUAUGCAUCUUACAGUUGAUGUUAUUGAUUAACUACGUUGCGCGCACUGGCGUUAGGACGCUAAAUGUUGUCACGUCGCGAAGACAUCUAAAUUGGUCUCAUCAUCUUCUUCUGAUCGUUGUUUUUCUGCGCGCGUGGGGUUUACAACGGAAAACGUGUUCUGCGCGUAGGCAUGAUCAUGAAUGACCCUGGAAAGUUUGUGACGCGCAGCAGAAUAAGAUGACAAAGCACGCCAUUCACUAGAUGUCGGGGAAUUCUGAGAAUAAACUAAAUGAACUUGAUUGAUUGACAACUCCUGAAUCUGCAACGCAGCACAUUUAGUUAAGUAAGCCAUCGCAUAAGAAAAAACGAGUCGUCUCGUUGAAAUGUUUUCAAGAAUGGGUGAUGAACACGAUGAGAUUUACCAUGAAAUUGGUUCCAUCUAUGCAACUUGGUUUUUCGGUAUCCACGUCGCCGAAUUCCGCCGCACAACAAACGGUUACAUGGCAAUUGUAGGAAUGGUAGAAAGUGCACAAAAACAUCCAACAGGGAAAGAAAUAGUGCGUAUGAGAACUCAAUAUGGAGGAACCGUCGUGUUUGAGCGAGAACCAUGGGGAGAUUACAAAAUGAAGACAAGUGGAUACAGUAUAGAAGCGAGACGUGGGAGGAUAAGUUAAGAAAUGACAGCCAUUACAAGACCCGUAUUUAACAUCAAGAAGGAAUUGUAAUCUUCAAUAGAUUGUUUGAUAGAUUUGUAAACUGAACCUCACGACGUUCACUAACUAUGAAUAAAAAAUAAUAAUUGUUACAAACUGAUUUCUCUUGCGCGCACUCACUAAAUCUAGCUCUCAACCACUUAGAGUAAUUUUGAUUAUUUUAUGAUUGCUUACGGUAGAACUUCAUUGGAAAACAAAUCUAUCUGUCAUUAACAAUCAGAUACUGCAAACAGUAGAAUACAACAGUUUGUCUAUAGUCUAAAUUGUAAGAUAGAACAAACCUCAUUUUAGGGCAAGAACAGUUCAAUCACUCAAGUUACAUUCCAGUAAACAUACAGAACUAAAAGUGAAGAAAACAUUCCAAAUUCUCCCAAGUGCGCGCACAUGUAUAUCAUUACAAAGCCGGCGCAAUGCACUAUGAAACAAUUAGGAUUCAAAUCCCUUAAACAUUGACCAAAGAAAUACCAAUGUUGAGUAUUUGAGCUAAAAAGGUAUCAAAAUGAGUUACUCUCCUGACGAAAACGAUAGCAUUCCCUACGAAGUUGUGUACAUCUACAGCAAAACGGAGAACAAAAGAACUGGGAUAUUCUACCGCACGCCAAGAGGACGGUAUAAAGAAGGAAGAGGCUGCUUUGUGACGAAGAGGACAAGAAAAGGAAAAGAAAUUGUUAAAAUAAUUACAGAAGAAGCAGAAUGUGUGAUUUUUGUACGAGAUGAAGAUGGUGAAUACUGUUCACAAACUCGAAACCACAAGAUAACAUCGGAUGAAGUAUUGAUAAGUUAAGCACAACAGCCGUGUUGGUCGAGUGGCGUAUGCAUGUAGCAGUUACUAUCAAAUGUUUGUAGUAUUCAUUUAACGUUUUGAUAAAAGUAUUGCCAAUUUA